CUCGAGAAAACUAUAUCUUAUUUUAUUUUAUUAUAUACUCUAUUCUCCGUGGAAAAAUAUUCAUAAAUCGGUUUCGACUGGUAAGCACAACAGGCCGAUAAAACUUCAACCAGGACCGUUAACUGGAAAAAGAGGGCGUAGCUGGCGGUAACGAUGUUUCAAUGUGUGAAUGCGUGUAAAGAAGAUCGGUGAACGUCGGCUCCUAUUGGUUGAUGAUGUCGGUAAGCGUACGAGAGAGGUUGGAAAUGGCGAGACGAAGGACCCUCCUUGUCUGAGCACUGAUGGUGCUUGUGUCAGCGUUGCAUCCCAUCUCCCUGUCUCACACUUCGCAAAUAACCACUGCGAUUCAUUGUUUAAGCUGAGACAAUAAAACGAACAGCACCAGUCCACGUAUCCCGAUGUUUAAUAUUAGCUCCACUCUCCUGUUUCUCGCUCUUAUUGUUUCGUCAUUCCUCACGAUCCAGGUAUCAGACGAUGAAGUAAUUUUAAUAUCAAUGAAUUUUCGUAUUCGUUGAAACGAAAUAUUAUUUUUUUUUUAAAUAUUUACGUUAAAUCUUGAAUAUUUAAUAUCAAAACAAAUAUAAUUAUUCAAAGUUGGUAUAAAAUUUAAAAAAUUGAUUUUAAAGAUUAAAACAAAUGUAAAAAUAUCAGUUAAAAUUUAUUUAUUAAGUUAUAAAGAGUUUAAGUUGGCAUUAAAAUGAAACGGAAAAAGUGAGUAAGACGAUGAUAUGACAUAAAGUUAUCUUACUUUAUCUUGCUUCAUUUAAUGUGAACUUAAACUAUUUAUAACUUUACAAAUAAGUCUUAAUCGACAUUUUUAUAUAUCAACUUUUAUAUUUUAGUCUUUAGAAUUAACCUUCCAAACGUGUCACAUGAAUAUUACAGUUUGUAUAAUAUUGUUUAGAAUUUUAUGUUCUUAUAAUUGUAACUGUUUAAAUAAAUAGAUAAAAAUAAUGA